GUAGGGCCUUGUCGUUGUGGCGUUAUCCACGCCGGCUCUCCAUUGGGCAGUUAUUCCUGUCGCUUUCCUCCCCCCAUCGCCUGCCGCACUGCCCUGCCCUGCCCUGCCCCCCUGCCCUGCUGUGGCACCCUGAUCCUCGUUGGCACGCUCUUGCCACCCUGCUGUUAUCUGGAGCAGUUCGCACCUCGAUGGCUGCACCACAACCGCCAACGUCCAUCAGCCCAUGACCACACAGCUGUAGCUAGCUCUGUUUGCCUGGAUGCAUUCCUCUCUCUCUCUUUCUGUGUGUGUGUGUGUGUGUGUGUGUGUGUGUGUGUGUAUAGAGGGAGGAAGAGCGCUUUUACAGAAAUGCAAAGAAGAGACCCUCAUAAAUACUGUGAAAUAAAGGCAUUGUUCACAAAAAGAGAGAGAAACACUUUGUUCAGUUACCGUGGCUAUUAGACUGUUAAUGCUGUCCAUGUUCUGCAGUGCAUGAAGAGAAGCCCUUUUUAGCGUGAAUGUGUGUGUGCGACGUGCGUGUGUGUAACAUGCAAGUGUAUAUGUCUGGUAUGUUUUGGAACGCCAUCUCGAUGAAGCACACUUUUCCUCACUCACAGAACACAUUCCAGCACGUACAUAACACAGAUGGGUUCCGUAGUGGCAGGGGUCAGGUUCUUGUUCCACGAAAGUGUUGAGGAUAAACAGGAUUUUUUUCCCCUUCUUUUUUACGUUUGUCGUAUGCUGUAUUCUGGAAAGAGCUUGGAGAAAGGUCUUGUCAUGUUGUCAACAAGUGGUUCAAGUAUGUUGGUCAGAGGUCGGAGUUCAAAGGUCACUUUGGCCAUCUGCUCAGUGGUGUGGGGACACUGGCCCCUCAGCCUCACCGCUGGUCGUGGAGUUGGAACAGGAGUGAGGAGAGAUUAAAAGGCAAGGAGUGGUCAUUUCAGUGCAAGGAGUAUGGCUAAUACAAAAACAAACAACGUCAACAACAAAAUACAACUGUAAAACAGAGACUCUAUGGACAUGCAAUGUUACUUAGUUACAACUUUUCAAGACUUGUUGAGUGUUCAGUGUUUCAAAGUUUAGUUUCUUGUUUUCAUUGAUUGCUGUUUGAGGGUAUCCACAUACAGAUAAAUAACACACACACACACACACACACCCACCCAGACACUCAAAUGGUGAUGAACACACGCACACUCACGGUUGUGUGAAGAUGAGACAUGACAUGUAUGACUGGGUGGUCUUCCCCAUGUUUGUGAAUGCCCUGUUCAGAUGUGCUGUUGAGUUGAGCAUCGGCCAGUUCAAAAAAGAAAAGAGAUCUUUUUCUGCUGCAACCUCUUGUCAUCUUUACAUUUCAAUAAAGACAAAAAUGUUCAUACGUG